AAUCUUGCGCAAUGGGCGAAAGCCUGACGCAGCAACGCCGCGCGCGGGACGAAGGCCUACGGGUUGUAAAACGCAUUCAGCGGGGACGAAGCUGAAGGUACCUGCUGAAGAAGCCACGGCCAACUACGUGCUAGCGGCCGCGGUAACACGUAGGGGGCGAGCGUUGUCCGGAUUUAUUGGGCGUAAAGAGCUCGUAGGCGGUUUCGUAGGGCGGGUGUGAAAACCCCAGGCUCAACCUGGAGACGCCCCCCGAUACUGCGAUGACUAGAGUCCGGUAGGGGAGCGUGGAAUUCCUGGUGUAGCGGUGAAAUGCGCAGAUAUCAGGAGGAACACCGACGGCGAAGGCAGCGCUCUGGGCCGGUACUGACGCUGAGGAGCGAAAGCGUGGGGAGCGAACAGG
rnacentral:rRNA from 1 species